CCUACGGGAGGCAGCAGUGGGGAAUCUUGCGCAAUGGACGAAAGUCUGACGCAGCGACGCCGCGUGGGUGAUGAAGGCCUUCGGUUGUAAAGCCCGGGAAGUAGUGCAACGGUAUCUCCUUAGCAAGCACCGGCUAACUCUGUGCCAGCAGCCGCGGUAAGACAGAGGGUGCAAACGUUGUUCGGAAUUACGGGCGUAAAGCGUGUGUAGGCGGCUACGAAAGUCGGAUGUGAAAUCCCCGGGCUCAACCCGGGAAGUGCACCCGAUACUACGUGGCUUGAGUACCGGAGAGGUUGGUGGAAUUCUCGGUGUAGAGGUGAAAUUCGUAGAUAUCGAGAGGAACACCGGUGGCGAAGCGGCCAACUGGACGAGACUGACGCUGAGACACGAAAGCGUGGGGAGCAAACAGGAUUAGAUACCCUUGUAGUC
rnacentral:rRNA from 1 species